rnacentral:misc_RNA from 1 species
UAAAGAAGUUCUCUAACUGGCCAACAUUUCCGCAGCUCUAUUGCAAAGGGGAGCUACUAGGUGGGUCUGACAUAGCCAUAGCAAUGCACGAGAGUGGUGAGUUAAAGGAAGUCUUCAGAGAUCAUGGCAUUGAAAGCAGAGUUUCUGAUGAGGUAAAGGUAAAGACUGCCAAGCCUGAUAGGAAAGGUGGCAUCUCAGAAAACUCAGGCUUAAGUGAAGCUCUAGCCUCCCGUCUUAAAAUGCUAAUUAAUUCAA